CCUUAAUAUAAUCAUUAUCUAUGAAAGCUUUUGCAUCUCAGUCUUCUACAAAUAGUACUCAACUCCAUGAAAUAGUCAUCAGAGUUCACAAAAAGCCACAGCUGGAGCUUUUCCAACAUGCAGAGAGUUCAGUUACUGAAAUCACUUCCUCUCAGUUUGCGUCCUACACACAGGGUAGGAAAUGUGGAAUUUCACUUUUGCUGUCUUGUCCCUUUACACAGAUUCAUCCUUUUGCCAACAGCAGAUUCAGUGUCUUGAGGUACAAGUCAACGGCCCUGUAAUCUACUGCCAGAGCACAGAAUGUCCAGAUUCUAAUUAAGCCCUGACCACUUGGUGUUUACUUUUAUUACUCUAAUACCAAGAGGCCCCAGUAAGAUUGGAGCCAAUUGUGCUAUGUGCUGCACACACUCAGAGUCAUUGCCUGACAGAACUCACAGAACAGAGCAGGGAGAAAGAAAGUAUUAUUUUCCACAGCAGCAAAAAGAGCCUCAGUUUUGCUGCUGUUCUCCUUGAGGCAUUAGUCCUGAGAAACAAGGAAUAAACCUGUACCGUAUGAGUAGUCUGAGCAGAUGAAAGCAUGCAAAUAUCCUUCUAUCUCCUAUUUUAUCUUUCCCUGUGACACUGUGCUUCUUUCCCAACAAGAAUAACAGUGAUAAAAAUAACAGUGAAGUCAGCACUGGGCAGGGAUGCCGUGGUGUCUGGAGCACCAGAAGCACUGAAAGCAGGCAAGAGUCUUUCUUGAGCUCAGGCUCCCAUAGCCAGAGCAACUGCUUGGCAAAAGACAGGAGAAGGAUUGUAUCUGUCAGAGUAACUUUUAUGGGACCCAACUCUUCCAGGGAUUGUUUCAAAUCCACAAAAUGCUCUUGAGUGUUAAUACCAGCACUGGGACAUUUGCGUUAGCAGGUAAAUGUGCAAGAACACGUUUCUAGACAUCUGCAAUGUUACUGCACAUCUGAGCAGUCUGCUGAAACUUGGUCCAAGGUCCACGAGGUCCUUGGGCUCCUGAAAUGACUUCCAAGGUUUGUAAUAAAUUGUGCUGCUGAAGCGAAGUGCAGUUAAGCAAUUCUCACAUGAUAGAAACAACGUGUGGUGUACUAAACUAAAACCAGUCAAUGUUAUUUUAACUUUUUAGCCUUUUAAAGUGUUUGGAAGGGAACAGAGAUAUUAUCCUUAAGAAAUUUGUACCUACAGAUGUUGUGAAAAAAAGCAGAAAACAUAGGAUGAUACCACCCUCACUGUUAAAGUCAAUAAUACUGAUAUAUAAUACUGAUCUUUGCUGUGCUUUGUGUUACCCAGAAGUGAGGAAGAUGGCUGUGAUUGUUCAGGUGGGGAAUAUAACACUGCUGUACUGCAAGUGGAUACUGUGAAGCGUUAGAUUUUGCGGUGAGCAGCAGAGAAAAAAGCCACCAUGCUGUAGAGAAAUACAUGUUAGAGGAAAAGGCCUUCAGCCAUCAGUACAGUUCAAAGUUGUUCAUGGAUUCAAAGCCUGUGGAGAUGGGGAUGCAGCUCAGGAGACUGUAACGGAGCUGUCAGCAGGAGGAGAAAGGAAGCAAAGGAAAUGAAGAGGCAUCAGUGGCACGUUCAGUUAAUGAAGAGCACCUACGUGAUUUUAUCAGUGUUGUUAGUGCUCAGUCUUUUAAGAAACAUUUUUAAAUAAAAUGGUGAAGGAUUGCUGUAUGCACUGUGGUUCAAAGAAGUGGAGGAGCCUCACCUGAAAGCACCAGACUCGCCAAUGAGUGCAACAGCUGAGGUAAAAGGCUUGGUGAAUCUACUCUAAGUGAGGUUAGUGUCAAUUACAAAAUCACUGUGAAUAAUAUUUCACAGUGGAAGACAAUCGUGGAUUGCAUUCUGAUUUUUUGAAACAGGAAGGUGACGUGGA
ensembl:lncRNA